rnacentral:rRNA from 1 species
AGUAAGGAGAAAGAUCCCUUAUAAAAUUAUGUUUUAAAUAAUAAAAGGAAACAUAAGAUUCCGCUCUUGGAAGUUAAUAUCACGGGUAGUAAUAGUUAAGGUACUACUUAACUAGCAUUAUACGCGUAGUCGUGACUGAAAGGUUGAUCGACCACAGUGGGACCGAAUAAAUCCCAUGACAAUUGUCUCAGCAGUGAGGAAUAUUGGUCAAUAGCCUAACGGCUGAACCAGCAACUUGGGGGAAUGUAUAGCGAAAGCUAGCUGCAUGAGCUUAGUGCAGUAUUGUUUUUUCAAAUAAAGUUCCGGGUGGGUUAUGACGAUGACAUUUCCUAUCUGUGUGUCUUGACCAAAUUACGUGCCAGCAGUCGCGGUAAUACGUAGAAGACUAGUGUUAUUCAUCUUUAAUAGGUUUAAAGGGUACCUAGACGGUAAAUCAAGUCCAAGAAGGAUACUAAUUUGACUAGAGUUAAAUGUGAGGGGGCUAUAAAGUACUGAUUAGUGUAGAGAUGAAAUUCUAUCAUACAAUGUAAGGCACUGGCAAAGGUGAAGACAUCUCCUUAUGUAAUAACUGACGUUGAGGGACGAAGGCUAUGUAUAGCAAAAAGGAUUAGAUACCCAAGUAGUCGUAGCAGUAAAUUAUGAAUGUCAUAGGAUGGAAACUUUUUUUUCUAUAAAUGAUAGUGUAAGCAUUCCACCUCAAGAGUAAUUUGGCAACAUUGGAACUGAAAUCAUUAGACCGUUUCUGAAACAAGUAGUGAAGUAUGUUGUUUAAUUUGAUAAUCCGCAAAAUACCUUACCACAGUUUGAAUAGAAACUUUUUUUUAUACAAGUGCUGCACGGUUGUCUUCAGUUAAUGUCGUGAGAUC